CAGGUUCAAGGUGAGGUGGAUGAUGCAGUCCAGGAGGCCAGAAAUGCAGAGGAGAAGGCCAAGAAGGCCAUCACUGAUGCUGCCAUGAUGGCUGAGGAGCUGAAGAAGGAGCAGGACACCAGUGCUCACCUGGAGAGGAUGAAGAA